AGUAUGAUUGCUGGGUUAUAUGGUAAGACUGUAUAGCUUUGUAAGAAACUUUCAAACUGUCUUCCAAAGUGGCUGUACCAUUUUUCAUUCUCAACAGCAAU
rnacentral:pre_miRNA from 1 species